rnacentral:rRNA from 1 species
GAUCAUGGCUCAGGACGAACGCUGGCGGCGUGCCUAAUACAUGCAAGUCGAGCGGACCUUUCAGGGUCAGCGGCGGACGGGUGAGUAACACGUGGGCAAUCUGCCCGAUACUCUGGGAUAACGCUUGGAAACGAGUGCUAAUACCGGAUGGUCUUCUUGGCCGCAUGGCCGAGAAGGAAAAGACGCGUUCGCGUCGAUGUCGGAUGAGCCCGCGGCGCAUUAGCUAGUUGGUGAGG